UGUUUAUUCUCUUCCAGUUCUCAACAAAAGAAAUUAACUAGUUCUGCUGGUUCUAAAUCCGUGGAAAAUAUUUGAGAAUGUUGUGGUCUUAAAGGUGAAAGGGCUAAGUGAUCGGAAUACAUCACUUCAUCGGAGGCAUUCAGAGAAGAUUGACUGGGAUGAUCCUUGGUUUGAAGGGAUUCUCUUUUAAGAAAAGGCUGAAGAAGUCCGGACUCUACUCACUCGAUUUGGGAAGAAUGAGAAGUGAACUCUUUCAAACAUAUCGGCUUCCUCAGGGGUUUGACAAGGUAUCCCCGAAAACCUGCUUAUUUGGCAAUUCUUUUGAUCA